UACGGAGGAUGCAAGCGUUAUCCGGAAUGAUUGGGCGUAAAGCGUCCGCAGGUGGCUAUGUAAGUCUGCUGUUAAAGAGUGAGGCUCAACCUCAUAAGAGCAGUGGAAACUACAUGGCUAGAGUGCGUUCGGGGCAGAGGGAAUUCCUGGUGUAGCGGUGAAAUGCGUAGAGAUCGGGAAGAACAUCGGUGGCGAAAGCGCUCUACUGGACCGCAACUGACACUCAGGGACGAAAGCUAGGGGAGCGAAUGGG
rnacentral:rRNA from 1 species